rnacentral:rRNA from 1 species
GUUGUGCGGAUUUAUUGGGCGUAAAGCGCGUGUGGGCGGCCAGGUAGGUCGGGGGGGAAAACUGGAGGCUCAACCUCCAGACGUCGACCGAAACCAUCUGGCUAGAGUCCGGAAGAGGAGAGUGGAAUUCCUGGUGUAGCGGUGAAAUGCGCAGAUAUCAGGAAGAACACCGAUGGCGAAGGCAGCUCUCUGGGACGGUACUGACGCUGAGACGCGAAAGCGUGGGGAGCGAACAGG